UACGUAGGGUGCAAGCGUUGUCCGGAUUUAUUGGGCGUAAAGAGCUCGUAGGCGGUCUGUCGCGUCGGAUGUGAAAACCCAGGGCUCAACCCUGGGCCUGCAUUCGAUACGGGCAGACUAGAGUAUGGCAGGGGAGACUGGAAUUCCUGGUGUAGCGGUGAAAUGCGCAGAGAUCAGGAGGAACACCGGUGGCGAAGGCGGGUCUCUGGGCCAAAACUGACGCUGAGGAGCGAAAGCGUGGGGAGCAAACAGG
rnacentral:rRNA from 1 species